UCCAGAGGUCUCAAGCGUUGUUCGGAUUCAUUGGGCGUAAAGGGUGCGUAGGCGGCGAGGUAAGUCGGGUGUGAAAUCUCGGAGCUUAACUCCGAAACUGCAUUCGAUACUGCCGUGCUUGAGGACUGGAGAGGAGACUGGAAUUUACGGUGUAGCGGUGAAAUGCGUAGAUAUCGUAAGGAAGACCAGUGGCGAAGGCGGGUCUCUGGACAGUUCCUGACGCUGAGGCACGAAGGCCAGGGGAGCAAACGGG
rnacentral:rRNA from 1 species